rnacentral:rRNA from 1 species
UUGAACGCUGGCGGAAUGCUUUACACAUGCAAGUCGAGCGGCAGCGCGGGGGCAACCCUGGCGGCGAGCGGCGAACGGGUGAGUAAUAUAUCGGAACGUACCCUGUCGUGGGGGAUAACACAGCGAAAGCUGUGCUAAUACCGCAUACGACCUGAGGGUGAAAGCGGGGGAUCGCAAGACCUCGCGCGAUAGGAGCGGCCGAUAUCGGAUUAGCUAGUUGGUGAGGUAAAGGCUCACCAAGGCGACGAUCCGUAGCGGGUCUGAGAGGACGACCCGCCACACUGGAACUGAGACACGGUCCAGACUCCUACGGGAGGCAGCAGUGGGGAAUUUUGGACAAUGGGGGCAACCCUGAUCCAGCCAUUCCGCGUGAGUGAAGAAGGCCUUCGGGUUGUAAAGCUCUUUCAGCGGGAACGAAACGGUCGAUCCUAAUACGAUCGGCUAAUGACGGUACCUGCAGAAGAAGCACCGGCUAACUACGU